rnacentral:rRNA from 1 species
GGUUGUUAGUUAGAGGUGAAAUCCCAGGGCUCAACCCUGGAACUGCCUUUAAUACUCGGCAACCUAGAGUUCGAGAGAGGUGAGUGGAAUUCCGAGUGUAGAGGUGAAAUUCGUAGAUAUUCGGAGGAACACCAGUGGCGAAGGCGGCUCACUGGCUCGAUACUGAC